GUGAGCGACAAAUAGAAGUAGUUGAUGAUGUUUCGAAUUAUGUUGUCGUCCCCCUUCAAGAACUUGAAAACAUAAAAACAGAGCUUAAAAAUUUACAAUUGACAGUGGCGGAAAACCUCGUAAAAAUUAACGGGAAUUUGGAGGAAUUGCUGCGGCGGUCGAACCUCGUAGGUGGCAUAGUUGAGGAGAUAGCAUGCGACCACCCAACUCUCCCUGUGACUACUAUUGAGAAUUUUGACAAGUUGUCAGAGUGGAUAAAAACUCGAGAGAACAAAAUAAAGUUGGUUGCGAAACUAAGGAUUUUGGGCGGAGCAAACUCCGAGGAGAUAAGCAAACGCGUUUUGGAUUAUCUGUUUGCUAAGAAUAUUGCCA